UGAGUAACGCGUAGGUAACGUACCUCUUACUGGGGGAUAACAUCGGGAAACCGGUGCUAAUACCGCAUAAGUCGUGUCUUGAAAUAGAUACGAUUAAAGAUUUAUUGGUAAGAGAUUGGCCUGCGUCUGAUUAGCUAGUUGGUAGGGUAAUGGCCUACCAAGGCGAUGAUCAGUAGUUGGUCUGAGAGGAUGACCAGCCAGAGUGGGACUGAGAACGGCCCACACUUCUACGGAAGGCAGCAGUAGGGAAUUUUGCGCAAUGGGCGAAAGCCUGACGCAGCAACACCGCGUGCGGGAUGAAGGCCUUCGGGUUGUAAACCGCUGUCAGCAGGGAAUAAAUUGACUGUACCUGCAAAGGAAGCACCGGCUAACUACGUGCCAGCAGCCGCGG
rnacentral:rRNA from 1 species